AGUUAAUUAUAGAAAAAUAGGUCAUUAGGUUAAUUUUACAAAUUAGUUGGAAUUAGGAGUGUUAAAUAAAUUGAUUAGUCUUGAAAAAUACAAAAAAAGAAAAGAGAAGGCUAUGGGGUCUCAUUACAGCUUUGGGCCAGGUUUCUAGUGGCCCAUUUUCCUUCCAUUCGCCCCAGCCCACUACCCGCCGGCCCAAUAUCCCCCUUCAUCUCUAAAAUAGACCCUAAUUUCACCCUCCCCUUUGGAUUCAGAAGAUCAGAGAUAUCGGCAGACCCCCCUCUUUGAUUCCCAUUUUUUGAGAAUGGAGCCUCACUCUCAAAAAACAAAGAACAUACACACAUUCAGUCAAUUAUUCAUCAGCGAAAACACACGCAUACCCAGGAGCAGCAAAGACUCUAGAACGCAAGUAUUCCAGAUCUGAAAAUUUUUCAAAGAGUGUUCCGAAUUUCCAAUGAGCUGAUUUCGCUGUUGUUUACUCUGCUGUCCAGUAGCUGAAUUCCAACAUCACGUCUGGUUUUCAGCCUUUAUUUGGCUUUCGAUUUUUGUUUGCUAUUCAGUUGGUGAUUCUAAAGGUUGGAUUGUAGGCAACGUUGAUUACAAUGAUUGGGCUUUUUCAAAGAAUUUUCAAGUUAAUGACAUCUUGAAUUUCAAUUACAACAACAAAUACCACAAUGUGAUGCAAGUGAGUAGCCAAGAAUAUUAUUCAUGCACAGUUACAGAUCCAAUGGCCACUUUAAACACAGGCAAAGACUCUUUUACACUUUCAGCCCCUGGCGAUUACUAUUACGUUUGCGGGUUUCCUGGCCAUUGCCAAAUUGGCCAGAAAGUUCAUAUACAAGUUAGUGGUUCUCAGGUAAAUAGUGCCCAACGAAAAGCUAAUCCAUCUGAAGCAAGUGCUGUUUCAUCUCAUUCUUUCUUGUGGUUUUCCAUCAUGGGCAUGCUUGGAAUCUGCUUUUACUAGGUCGAGGCGAAGUUAGAAUUUUUAGUUUAUGAAUUUUGAAUCAUUAUAAUGUGGCUUUGCACCUAGUUUUAGAUUUUUUUUGUGCUAAUUGUAGACAAUAAAUUGCGUCGAGAAAAUAAAAUCCAGGCCGAAAAAUAUUGCAACA